AAGCGCCGCUGGCCCGGGGACCACAGAUUGGAAGCAGGCAGUCACUGGUCGUGGACAGGAAGACUCUCUCCGGCCAUCUCAGCUGUGGUCCUCUAACCUGUGCCUGUGAGCCACCAAGAGUGAACGGAAACUAGAAGCAUUGCCACCAACAACUGGAGCAGUGACCACACUGAAGUUUCUCUGUCGAGGGGGAAGGGGAGUAAGGAGAAAAAAAAAAAAAAAAGGCAAGUAAGCAAGCAAGCCAGCAAGCACAGGAGCACACUCUCGUGGAGGCCCACACCCUCCCUGUGCCUACCCAAGAUGUGUCAGUCAGAGAAGCAUCCAGGACCGGAGCUCCAAGCAGCAGCAAAAUGGUGUUCCUGUAUAAAACUGUGCCAACGAGUUUGCUGUCAUGUGCCUGUGGUCGCCUCAACAAAGUAGAACUUCCUUACUGGCUCUGGAGGCCAGUCUACAGCCUGUAUAUCUGGACCUUUGGGGUGAACAUGACUGAGGCUGCAGUGGAGGACCUGCACCACUACCGCAACCUCAGCGAGUUUUUCCGGCACCAGCCCAUCAGAUGGCAAGAUCCUCACCUUUGGGCAGGUGAAGAACUCUGAGGUGGAGCAGGUAAAGGGCGAAACCUACUCCUUGGAGUCCUUCCUGGGCCCUCGAACCAGUACAGAAGACCUGCCCUUCCCUCCAGCUUCUUCCAGUGACUCCUUCAGAAACCAGCUGGUCCCCCAAGAAGGGAAUGCGCUCUACCACUGUGUCGUCUACCUGGCCCCAGGAGACUACCACUGCUUCCACUCCCCCACUGACUGGACCGUCUCACAUCGGCGCCACUUCCCAGGUUCCCUGAUGUCAGUGAACCCUGGCAUGGCCCGAUGGAUCAAAGAGCUCUUUUGUCACAAUGAGCAUGUAGUCCUAACUGGAGACUGGAAAAAUGGGUUCUUCUCGUUGACAGCAGUGGGAGCCACCAAUGUGGGCUCUAUCCAUAUCCACUUUAACUGAGUGAGCAAAGCCCACAGGCUAAACCUCUUGGGUCCAACCACUUCAUUUACUGUACAGCCUUACCUUUGGGCUUAUAAAUUUUGUAGUGCAGGAGGGAUGAUCUAGCUCUGACCAGGCUGGACUCUACAGACAUCCAUACCAGCCCAGCCUCCCUCUCCCUGUUGCCCAAUCUGUGGCCAUUCACCUGCCUGAACCAAUCCCACAUCUUAACACACGGCUUCUGCCAGGAUCCCUGAUCAGAAGCAAGGAUGGAGCCUGCAGGAGGGUAGAGUUGGCUUGGGUGAGAAAAUCUGGUACCCACUCUGCCUUUUUAGGUUUUAAUGGCUGCUGCUGGCACUAGCCUUUCAGCAUUUAUGUCUAACCCCUGCCCCUCCUUGUCAAAGUCACAGCUGAUACUGGGAGUGUUGAUUAGUUAGGCCUUUGUCUCUGCCACCUGGGCUGGGCAGAGUUGAGGACAGGCUCAACCUUCUUGUUCCUAGGACUUGCACACAAACAGCCCCAGGUACAGCAAGGUACUACAAUGACCUGAGCUUUGUAACAAGGAGGGCAUUCCCAUGCACAAGGGUGAGCCCCUGGGCGAGUUCAACCUGAGCUCCACAUCAUGCUCAUCUUCGAGGCACCCAAGGACUUCAACUUGAGGCUGAAGGCAGAACAGAAGAUCUGCUUUGCAGGAGCACUGGGCUCCCUCUAGUCCUCUCGGUUGUGGCUGCCAAAGGAUCUUUCCACACAGGAGCAUGAGGGUCUUUAGCGGAGCCCCAGGAUGUCUAGGUGAGGGGCACUGUGGGGCUGACCUUAUAAGACCUGAAUGAUGUGUUCCUGCCUGUCCAUGGGUGCAGAGGAGAGGUUCUGGGUCUCUCAGGACCUAGGCCCCUUUUCUGAGUAUGGGUGGGUGUGAUUUGACCCCAAAGUCACUUUAAGGGGUGUUUUAAAUUUUUGUACAAGCCAGAGCCUCCCACCCCUAACUCCUGGCUGUGUACUACCACACCCUCUAGCUGCGCCCCGACCCGUCACAGGGCUCUCUCACUGUGCACAGGGUGACGUGCCUGCUGGGCAGAGACUGUGGAUCCACUGUCUUCCUAGAGCAGGCCACAUGGCCUUCAUAACUGCUUUCUGCUCCCAAAUUUCACCUAUCUGCAUGCUGGAAAAGUAAAAUCAUUUAUAUAUUGCUGGAUGUGUUGUCCUGGGCUCUGUCAGUGUCUUCUGAAGACAAUGACUAAUGAUGUAUGUAGACCUUUGUAGGCUCUAAGAAGCUGGCUGAAUCCUUUUGCUGGUAGGCAAGACCAAUUAAUUACUGGCUUGUCUGGUAGAGUCUGGAGUGAAAGGGCAGGUUGAGGCCUUGCCCUGCAGAAGUAGGGGACAUGCUGCUAUUGGUCUAGGUCUGUGUUGGAAGCAGAGGGUAUGGAGGUCAGUACCUAGAAAACAGGUAUGCAGGCCAUGGGGAACCCAGUGGUAGGGACAAGACCAGAGUUCAUGUCGAUCUUGGGAAUGCCAUGAAUUUCCCCUGCAGAAGAAAUCACUUAACUUUUCAACCCUAUCAGUAGUACCGUAUUUUGUAUGAAAAGUAGGAGACUUCUGAACAGUAAUUCAUUUCAUUGCAAGACAUUUUGAAAUUAAAAAACAAAACAAAACAAAAACUA
rnacentral:lncRNA from 1 species